rnacentral:rRNA from 1 species
UACAGAGGUCUCAAGCGUUGUUCGGAUUCAUUGGGCGUAAAGGGUGCGUAGGUGGCGGGGCAAGUCUGGUGUGAAAUCCCGGGGCUCAACCCUGGAACUGCACUGGAUACUGCCUUGCUAGAGUACUGGAGAGGGAACUGGAAUUUACGGUGUAGCAGUGAAAUGCGUAGAUAUCGUAAGGAAGACCAGUGGCGAAGGCGAGUUCCUGGACAGUUACUGACACUGAGGCACGGAAGGCCAAGGGGAGCAAACGGG